rnacentral:rRNA from 1 species
GGUGCGUAACACGUGAGCAACCUACCGAACUGUGGGGGAUAGCCGGCCUAACGGCCGAGUAAUACCGCAUACGCUCUUGGAGAGGCAUUUCUUUGAGAGGAAACCUACGGGACAGAUCGAGGGGCUCGCGGCCUAUCAGCUAGUUGGCGAGGUAACGGCUCACCAAGGCAACGACGGGUAGCUGGUCUGAGAGGAUGGCCAGCCACAUUGGGACUGAGAUACGGCCCAGACUCCUACGGGAGGCAGCAGUGGGGAAUCUUGCGCAAUGGCCUAACGGCUGACGCAGCGACGCCGCGUGUGGGAUGAAGCUCUUCGGAGUGUAAACCACUGUUGCCCGGGACGAACAGCUCGAUUUCUCGAGCCUGACGGUACCGGGUGAGGAAGCACCGGCUAACUCCGUGCCAGCAGCCGCGGUAAUACGGGGGGUGCGAGCGUUGUCCGGAAUCACUGGGCGUAAAGGGCGCGUAGGUGGUUUGAUAGGGGUGUGGUGAAAGUCCGGGGCUCAACCCCGGAUCUGCCGUGCCGACUGUCAAACUCGAGGACUGUAGAGGCAGACGGAAUUCCGGGUGUAGCGGUGGAAUGCGUAGAGAUCCGGAGGAAGACCGGUGGCGAAGGCGGUCUGCUGGGCAGUUUCUGACACUGAGGCGCGACAGCGUGGGGAGCAAACAGGAUUAGAUACCCUGGUAGUCCACGCCGUAAACGAUGGGUACUAGGUGCCUGGGGGAGCGACCCUCUGGGUGCCGGCGCUAACGCAGGAAGUACCCCGCCUGGGGAGUACGACCGCAAGGUUGAAACUCAAAGGAAUUGACGGGGGCCCGCACAAGCGGUGGAGCAUGUGGUUUAAUUCGACGCAACGCGAAGAACCUUACCUAGGCUUGACAUGCACGAGCAAGCUCUCAGAAA